rnacentral:lncRNA from 1 species
UGCAGGGCUCAUCCUGUACUGGAGCCUCAUCUCUGCCUCACAGACAUUGCCUUUCCAGGAAUUGGCCAUUUCAGUGAGAAUGAUAGAUUUAGAAAAAGUCUGUAAUGCGAUCGAAAUUGAGAAUUUUAUCCACAUUUUGUUGUUGCUCAUAAAACCUGAAAUCACUCAUAUAAAGCCACAAAAUAGCAAAGGGAAAUCAAUGUCUCUGUAAUUGCCCUAAAUGUUAUAUUUAAAAAGCACUGUAUUGGAUUGAUGGUGAGGUUUUUAACUGGGGGGAGAUUACAUGUCUUUGACAAAGCCUGCUUAGCUGAUGCUGCCUAACACAGACAGAAGAUAGGUUAGAGACAUCUUGUGUGUUAUCUGUUUAUUUCCGGCCACAUCCUGACCUAGCAGGAAUUACUUUUCACAGCCUGUUCCCUUUAGGGCAGCAUCCUGUGGGAGUGAGCGCUUGCUUCCUCUUGACUUCCUGUGUAUUUAAAGCACUCUUACCAAGAGGCAGUGCAAUGUAUGUGCUGGCCUUAUUUUCUCUUGCCAGAAAUUAUUAUUCCUCUCUAUAUAAGUUUAGAAUAAAUAGAAUACUUCCCAUGUCAAUAGGCUAAAGCACAGAUUAAAGGUCAAACGAAAAUUCACUAUUGAAAACAAAACACCGCCCCACCCCCAGUGCUUAUGAAUUAAGGCAGGUUAGAUGGAAACUAUUGAAGGCUGCUUGAUGCUGAAGGAUGGCGAUGGUCAAGUCACGUGUUCAUCGCCUCCCUUCCCCCUCUCUCAUGUCUCUCCCUCAGGAUCUGGAGCCGCAGCCCAUUCCCUGGGGUUGUGCUAUUUUGCACUUUUCCCCUACUGUGCUGGUGCCAACUUGCAUGUUGGAUGCUGACUGAGGCUUUUCCUUGCUGGCCAGCACCUAGACUGCAGGACAGCCAGUAGCUCCUGUCCAAGUCCCAUUUCUAUGUAGGGCAGAGCUGAGGGCUUGCUCACCUUGGGCUGCAGCUCACUCCAUCACCAUGCAGCAAUCCAGAGGAAAUGUCAAUGUGGUGAACUGGAAUAGGUAUUUAUACAUAAGGGAAAAGAACAUAUAUGUUGAGGAUAAGUGUCUUAAAGUGAUUGAUCCUCUGGUUCUGUAAGUUCAAAGGAAGAAAAGAAGUGGUCAAAGUAGAACCUUUUGUCAGGAAGUUCCAUCAUGAAUCCUGGGUUUCCCCCUCCUUCCAGUGUGCUGGUGUUCUCUUUCGUCUUGCUCCAAGAAGAAUCCUUUAUUUGAACCUCCACAGUCAAGACCUCCUCCUUCUGUUAGGCUUAUGUUUCAUCGCAUGAUUGUCUACAAUGCUGCAUUAGCCAACAAUGAGUGUUCACUGUCGGACCUUAUGCCUGGACAGCAAGAUGGGGAUACUUCAUGGAGGAGUUGGUACAAACAACAGGGUAUGAGUCUCACCUUUCUAGGUCUCAUUCCUGGUUGCAGAAAAUAUUAAAAAGAACCAGCACGCUCCUGAGCUUCAUCCUGCUACUCUCUGCCCCAGGGAGUCUGGAAGGCCUGUUCUUAUCUCGUGGAGACUCUCUGGCCCGGAGCUCUGGAAACAUCUCUACCCAGCUCGCUAUGUUCCUACUGGUGGGUCGUUCCUAUGUUCCUAUAGGUCAAAUAUAGUUUGAAAUGUGCAGGGGAGACUAUCUCUAGGUGCAGAAGCAAGGAGAAUGAAAAUCAAAGGACAGAAAACAAAUGAUGGAGAGAGUAAACUUCAUGUGAUGUAUGCUGUUAUGAGACAGGAGGAAAGACCAUUCUGAAUAGACAAUAUUGAAAAUUUACAUUGUAAUACAUAUGUAGGGGUAAAUGACCCCUACUAUGUAAACUUUAAUACUAAACUUAUUAUGUAUGUAAAAUUCUACUCAUCUUUGGUCAUUUACCCUAUCCUUUUGACCUUCUGUUUUCUCUUGUUAUACUAAAGAGGGACAAUUCACUGAAUUUCAUCUGAGGUACUUACUUCCAAGACAGUAGUUUCAAGUUGGUAUUAUAUGGGUAUUUUAGAUUUCUUAUGGAAUUUUGAAUCAUUUUCUUAUAUAUUCACAUUUACAGACUAAAAUAUGGUACUGAAAAAUCCUUACAUUUUAUUUUAAGAGUGUAUGAACCAUGUACUCUAAACCCCAAAUCCUAUCAUUGAUUUAUUAUUUUAAGAAGAUUGUUUUAGAAGUUUUGUGAUUGGACCCUGCAUCCUAUCUUUUCUUGUACUGAGUAAAAAUUAUAGAGGAAAUUAUGAACUACAGCAUUGGAAUAAUAGCAAAUUAGUUUAGAAUCAAUCAAGAUACAAUCUUACAUAUAAAAUAAGCCUUCCUUCCUGUGGAUCACAGUUUGCUUAGACUCCUUAAAGAAAUGAGUUACAAAAUAAGGAGUGGUCUCAUGCUUGAGAGACCCCUAAUUUAAGGAACCCACCUUCUUUGGCAUGAAAAGGUCACUUAAUGUUAAAACUUAAAAGGAACCAAGUUCCACCACUGCUUAAUCCUGAAGCUGUGAGCAUUGGGAAAGCAAGCUUUUCCUUUGGAGGGAGAGUGUGGACCUUUGGUUACGGAGUUGUGCUGCUGUAUCAAGCAGGCUGCUUCUGUGUGUUCUGUCUCUAUUUAGGUUUCUCACAUAAAAUCAGAGCAGCAGGGGUAUGUGAAGUCACAGAUAUCCCAACCCUGAGAUUCUUCUGAACAAAAGAGUUCCAGAAUGAUAUGAAAGACCUCUGUGUGUUCUGAGUAAAGUAGGUUAAAUUUAGUAUCUAUUUUAAUCACUGUACAAUCCUUGACAACAUAAAGAUACCCAGUAUCAAUUCUAAUCACUGUACAACCCUUGACAACAUAAAGAUACUCUUUAAAGCAUCUAUUUAACUUUGAGUAAAACAUGGAAUUGAAGUAGAUGCAGUAAGAGUUGGGAGAUGAUGUAUGACUGACUGCACCUGACAAAUGUCCCCAUUCUG